ACGGUUGACCUCGGAUCAGGUAGGAAUACCCGCUGAACUUAAGCAUAUCAAUAAGCGGAGGAAGGCACCCGGUCUAU
rnacentral:rRNA from 1 species